rnacentral:tRNA from 1 species
AGGCCGAAUAGCAAAAUGGUUAUGCAGUGGAUUGCAAAUCCACCUACGCCGGUUCGAUUCCGACUUCGGCCUCCAC